CCUACGGGAGGCAGCAGUGAGGAAUAUUGGUCAAUGGGCGCAAGCCUGAACCAGCCAAGUCGCGUUAGGGAUGACGGUCCUAUGGAUUGUAAACCUCUUUUGUCGGGGAGCAAGGCCCGCCACGUGUGGCGGGAAGGAAAGUACCCGAAGAAAAAGCAUCGGCUAACUCCGUGCCAUGAGCCGCGGUAAUACGGAGGAUGCGAGGUUUAUCCGACUUUAUUGGGGUUAAAGUGUGCGUAGGCGGAAGGUUAAGUCAGCGGUAAAAUGUCGGUGCGCAACACAGGCCUGCCGUUGAAACUGGGCUUCUUGAGUGAGCGAGAAGUAGGCGGAAUGCGUGGUGUAGCGGUGAAAUGCAUAGAUAUCACGCAGAACUCCGAUUGCGAAGGCAGCAUACCGGCGCUCAACUGACGCUGAGGCACGAAAGCGUGGGGAUCGAACAGGAUUAGAUACCCCGGUAGUC
rnacentral:rRNA from 1 species